rnacentral:rRNA from 1 species
CCUACGGGUGGCAGCAGUGGGGAAUAUUGCACAAUGGGGGGAACCCUGAUGCAGCGACGCCGCGUGAGUGAAGAAGUAUUUCGGUAUGUAAAGCUCUAUCAGCAGGGAAGAAAAUGACGGUACCUGACUAAGAAGCCCCGGCUAACUACGUGCCAGCAGCCGCGGUAAUACGUAGGGGGCAAGCGUUAUCCGGAUUCACUGGGUGUAAAGGGAGCGUAGACGGCGAGACAAGUCUGGAGUGAAAGGUCGGGGCCCAACCCCGGGACUGCUCUGGAAACUGCCUGGCUGGAGUACAGGAGAGGUAAGUGGAAUGCCUAGGGUAGCAGUGAAAUGCGUAGAUAUUAGGAGGAACACCAGUGGCGAAGGCGGCUUACUGGACUGUAACUGACGUUGAGGCUCGAAAGCGUGGGGAGCAAACAGGAUUAGAUACCCCAGUAGUC